ACUAUAACGAGUCUGUAUCUCUCACAUUUUCUCAUUUACUUGCUGUUUCUUCCACCCUAUUCACGCUCGUACUCGUUUGAUAUGAGAAGAGGACAUGAGAAAGUAUCACCGCAGCGUAGCCUUCGUCACCACACUGCCGUUUGCGUUCGCCGUUCUCCGUUCGCCGUUCACUGUCCCCCUCGUCGUCCUUCUCUUCCCCUCUUUUACGAGUAUGAACCCUAAUCUAUUCUGUUCAGAAAAAAGGAGCUGCACCCUAGCCACCAAGCUAUUUCUUCAAACUUCUAUUCUAGGGUUCAGAUUCAGGAGAGAAGCAGGAGCAAAAUUUUGUGUUUUUGAUUCACAACAAAAGAAAUUCAGCAGAUUUGGCGUCAACUUGUGGAAACUUCUGGGAGCAAUCUAUAUGUCUGACUUUGAAGAUGUACCCAGCAGAGCUCUCACUCACAUCUUGGAUAUGCUUUUUGGGCAUUUUUGAGGGUGCAAUUGCAACCUUUAUAUUUGAACGUGAUAUGAGUGUUUGGUCCAUUGGCUGGGACUCAAGGCUUCUUGCUUGUGUUUAUUCUGGAGUGGUGUUUUCUGGAAUUGAGUUGUGACUAGAGGACGUGGACCAGUUUUUGUGACUUCUUUCAGUCCACUAAUUAUGAUUAUCACUGCUGCAUUGGGGUGGUCCAAGUUCUAAAACUCCUAUGUGUAUUUUGCGGCUGUAUUUAGUAGAAUCAACAAAUCAGGAACUAAAUCAAAGGAUUCCAAUGUUCAAACUUCCCACCUAGAUCUUUUGUCGUGUCGUUAACGUCCAUUUGCUGGUACUUUUUCUACUUCAUCCUUUUUUUCUUUCUUUUGUUUUUAAUGUUUGUUGUCUUCAUUUUUAACUGCAGGGGGAGAAAGAAAGGGGGGUUGAGAAGAAAUGAAAAUUCCUGAGAGAAAUGGUUAAACGAUAAUUUGUUCUCUUGUUUCGCUAUGUCCUGAAAGGGGGAAAAAUUAAGCCUAGAUUAUGUUCAGAAGGAGAAGUUCUGUAACUAUGGUUGUGUGAAACGGUUUUUGAAAGCCAAGAAUGAUAAUGUGAAAAAGGCAGCAAAACAACUCAGGGCAUGCCUUUCAUGGAGAGACACCAUUGUCACUGAAUAUUUGAUAGCUGAUGAUUUCUCAGCUGAACUAGCUGAUGGACUGACCUAUGUAGCUGGUCAUGACGAAGAAUCCAGACCUAUUUUGAUGGAGCUAGCGAGAAAAUUUUUUAAGGAUGGAAGGGAUGUUGAUUUAGAAGGAUCAUUUUGUCAAAGAGAAGAUGAUGACCAUAACUUUCAAAUAUAUAGGUUUCUGAAGAUUGAACUUUGGAAUUCUAUGUAUUCACACUGCAUAUAACAAUGACAGAGAGAGCAUUACCUUCCCUUUUCUGUUUUAUAGAUCCAACUUACAUGAAUCGAGCCAUUCUAAGAAGAGAUUCGAGCCAUUCUAAGCAAUGCUUCUGAUAAUGUGUACUGCAUACUUCUCGCUCAAAGUAUUGUUCAUGGAGCAAUGGCAGAUUACACUAGCCAUACAAGUGGACUUGUCUAUGUAAGACAAACUUAUAUACCCUUCUAUAGAGUCAAUGAAAACCGGAAUCAUGUAGUGAUAACUGAUAGAAUGUGGGCUAGGUUGUUAUCUUCGACGAAUCAACUCAGCUUUUUGGGCAACAAGUGUUACAAUGAAGAUAACAUCGAAGAAGAAGAACCAUUAAACCAGCUGCUACAUGGAGAAUUUUCAGAUGACACCUUGGUUAAGAAAGAAAUUAGCAGCAUUUAACAAUAUGCUUUCUAAAUGUUAUUGUCAUUCCUUCAUACCCCUUCACUAUGCUAUAUGCAUUUAAUUUUUAGUAGUAUAUAUGAGCUUUUUUCUUCUCUCUUUUUUUGGGCCCCUCCACUCCAUAAAAUGGCUGGGGAAAAAUUAGCCUCGCAUUGUUACUAUUUUUGUAAAAUUUGUAGGAUUGAAUUUGGAUUUGUUGAAAUACAAUGUUAUUUUUGGAGAAUUCAACGUUUGAUAAUAGAAAUCUUUGAUGUUGGAGAGU